rnacentral:rRNA from 1 species
UCCGGGUUGAUCCUGCCAGAGGCUACUGCUAUCGGGGUUCGAUUAAGCCAUGCGAGUUAAAUGUUCUUCGUGAACAUAGCGAACUGCUCAGUAACACGUGGAUAACCUACCCUUAGGACCGGAAUAACCCCGGGAAACUGGGGAUAAUACCGGAUAAGCCAUAGACGCUGGAAUGCCCUAUGGUUCAAAGCUCCGGCGCCUAAGGAUGGAUCUGCGGUCUAUCAGGUUGUAGUGGGUGUAACGUACCUACUAGCC